UGAUGACGUUUACGUUGACCAAGUAUGAAGAGAGAGAGAGUCGGGAAAACACGGGAAAAACGGUCCAAAAUGACGGAGGAAAAGAGCAACACUACGUUCAGUAAUGGAUCAGGCCCUGAGCUGAGGAGAUGCGAUUGUGCCAAACAAAGAGGAGCUUGUGUCUCAUCUGCAGGGACAACGACGGUCACGUGUAGAGUACGGUGGUAAGUCCGUCUAUAUUAUCAAAUAUUUUUUCAUUUCAAUGCUGAAAGGCCUUCAUUUCCCCAUGAGCCUUACAUGUUAUGAACUAUGAUGUUAUGUCUGUUUGUCCUGACCAUGGAUAAUUGUGACCAUCAGACUCUCAUCCCUUUGAACAUCAGACACUCACAAUAAGUAAACUUACCUAAUGCUGGAGCCAUGUCAUCUAUGUGUACUGUACUACAUGUGUGGAGAAUCUUUAGUCCAGGUGUAUUUUAUUUUCACUCUUGUUGAGAAUUUAGAUUUUGAGAAAAAGUUUCAAGAUUCCUGCAUUUUUAUAGAUGUCCCUAAUAAUAGUGAUUGUUCUUUGAACCUCUAAGAAGAAAUGGAACAAUUUGCCUCUCAGACAGGGUUUUAAAAAAGUAUUGUUUUGUGUGUUUCUUGAAACUUAUGAAUCACUCUUCCUGUCUGUCUUUUAGGAUACAGUGUAUACAAAUGCCUCCUUGACUGUGUGCAAAGCCAUGAUCACUGUGGCUUUGUGAAAAAUGUUUUGUCCGUCAGUUUAGACUCUGCUGCAAGACGGCAACCACAAAUAUUACUGCAACUGUGGCGUCCACGGUGACUCCGGCGUCCACUCCAGCAUCCACGGUGACUCCGGCGUCCACUCCAGCAUCCACGGUGACUCCGGCGUCCACUCCAGCAUCCACGGUGACUCCGGCGUCCACAGCAGACCAUCAGAAAGAAACAUGUAUGUUUACUAUGGUGACAGAGGACACUGAAGACCAUCCCUACAGCAAAGACUUGGUGAGUCUCAGCAUUUCAGUCACAUCUCACCCUCAUGUCAUGUCUACAUUUCAGGAUCUGGUUAUUAUAGACACAGAUUAAAUGUUAAAUAUAAAUAUUUUAACAUUUAUCAUCACAGUAACAGUGUUCCCAUUUAACCAAGGGAAACCAAACACAGGUGUUGCUGAUUAGGGAAGCAAACAGUUUUUCGACUGUGCCUUUGUGCCUUCGUGCUUUGUGAUUUGAUGUAGUGAGCAAUUUGGCUUGUUGUUUUUUGUUACCUGCAUUAUGAGUUAAAGUUAUUCCUGCUGUAUGAUUAUGAAGGAAAUAAACCUGUGAGAUAAUUGUAAUAUUACCGGACUUUCCGUUUUGCUAUGUUCGAGCGCACUGGGCGCACGUCUAAACUAAAUCCUCCGUAUUAGCAACCAGAACUGCUUCGUUUAGGACUCAGCCAGUACAAGAACUCUCAAUUAUUCAGUAAAUCAGAAAAAAAAUUACUCAAAAAACCAACCAUGAAAAAAAUUAUAAAUAAAUAAAUAAUUUUUUCAAGUGAAUGCAAUGCGCUUCCGUAAAUUGGAGACUGAAUUGACUGAAUAGGUGUGAGAGUGAAUGGUUGUUUGUCUCUCUGUGUCCUCCACAAUAACAAUUCCUCCACAGCGUUGUAAAAGACUCAUUGCAAGGUAUCUUAAACACUUGAUUGCAGUUGUUGCUGCAAACGGCAGCCCAACCAGUUAUUAGGUUUAGGGGGCAAACACUUUUUCACACAGGGCCAUGUAGGUUUAGAAUUUUUUUCCCUCCCUUAUUAAUAAAAGCCUUCAUUUAAAAAAACGCAUUGUGUUUACUUGUGUUGUCUUUGACUAAUAUUUAAAUUAGUUUGAUGAUCUGAAACAUUUAAGUGUGACAAACAUGCUAAAAAAUAAGAAAUCAGGAAGGGGGCAAACACUUUUGCACACAACUGUAUACAGAAUCACUUUUUUCUAGCAGCCAUUCCCACAUGCGCCACACCAAGGAAGUCCCCCCUUACCUAAUUUCCUUUGUGGGUUAACCCUAACCCUAAUCCUGAACUUUUUUGUCAUACAAUCUAUUCAUGUUGCUGCAUCUUUGAAUGUAUCUGGAGAUAAUGCGUCCGUAGAAGUGUACAAGUUCUUACUUAAUUUAAUAUUUAAAUAAAUUUAAACCAUAACACAUCUCUCUGAAUUAAACUGGCACUAUAUUGAGUAGACCUGUUCAACUGCUUGUUAAUGUAAAUAUCUAAUCAGUCAAUAACAACAAUGACAAAGACAUGGUGAGUAUGAGCUGCUGAAGUUCAAACUGAGUAUCCAUAUCAUUAAGAAAGGUGAUUUAUUAGUUGUUUAAAAGUGAAUAAAUACAUGUCGGUAAAAUUAUUUUAUUGUCACUUAAAUACCUUGAAGUGAGAUCUAUUUUGAAAGUGCAUGGUCAAAUUACUGGGUUCUGUUUGAGGUUGUGGUGUUAAGUUUUUCUGUACUGUGUUUAAGAGACGCACACGGUAAUUGUACUUUGUUUCAUUUGUAUUUCAUUUUUCGGUUUGUUAAAAUUAGGCUCAAUGGACUCAUAUGAACUCUUAUGUUUUGUCUUUAUAGUUUUCACGGUGUCUUAUGAUUUCUUUGUGUCAACGCAAAAGAGAAGAAAAUAAACAGAAAAAUCAAGACAGCUGUACGAAUCGUGGCCUUUUUGUUGAACCAGUGUAGCUACAGUGAAAACGUACUGCCGACACGGCCAAAAGUUAAGAGACAAGAGCUGCGAGUGUCUGAGCCGUGUGUUCAUAACGUCCAGGAGCCGACUAGAGAGAAGACGACAGCGAAGUACUGGGGCUUCAUCGCGGCUUGCUGACGAGAGCGAGGAUGGCAGCGUCAACCUGCAAAGUACCGCGAUUCCACCAACAGAGGGCACCGUUUAGCAGCGGGUGCCACAGCUCUUCAUAUAUCCUUACCUGGUUUCAGCUGGCAUCGUUUACAGCAUUCAUGCAGACGAGAGCAGCUCUGCAGUAAGCAUUUGAGGUGACAGUGCCAAGCCCUCAACUGUAUGGACAUUUGUAAAUGUUGAAAGACUUGAACUCUUUGAAAUUUGUUGUUUAUUUGCAAUAGAGGUUUGAGUUACGUUGUAAAUCAGUGCCGGCCCUGAGUAAUUAGGUGCCCUAGGCAAGAUUUUAGCUGGCGCCCCUUGCAUCGCAGCAGUCAAU